CCUACGGGAGGCAGCAGUGGGGAAUUUUCCGCAAUGGGCGAAAGCCUGACGGAGCAAUACCGCGUGAGGGAGGAAGGCUCUUGGGUUGUAAACCUCUUUUAUCAGGGAAGAAAAAAAUGACGGUACCUGAUGAAUAAGCAUCGGCUAACUCCGUGCCAGCAGCCGCGGUAAUACGGAGGAUGCAAGCGUUAUCCGGAAUGAUUGGGCGUAAAGCGUCCGCAGGUGGCGAUGUAAGUCUGCUGUUAAAGAGUUUGGCUCAACCAAAUAAAGGCGGUGGAAACUACAUAGCUAGAGUACGUUCGGGGCAGAGGGAAUUCCUGGUGUAGCGGUGAAAUGCGUAGAGAUCAGGAAGAGCACCGGUGGCGAAAGCGCUCUGCUAGGCCGUAACUGACACUGAGGGACGAAAGCUAGGGGAGCGAAUGGGAUUAGAUACCCCAGUAGUCCUAGCCGUAAACGAUGGAUACUAGGCGUUGUCUGUAUCGACCCGGACAGUGCCGUAGCUAACGCGUUAAGUAUCCCGCCUGGGGAGUACGCACGCAAGUGUGAAACUCAAAGGAAUUGAACGG
rnacentral:rRNA from 1 species